CUACGGGAGGCACCAGUAGGGAAUCUUAGACAAUGGGGGAAACCCUGAUCUAGCCAUGCCGCGUGAGUGAUGAAGGCCUUAGGGUUGUAAAGCUCUUUCGCUGGGGAAGAUAAUGACGGUACCCAGUAAAGAAACCCCGGCUAACUCCGUGCCAGCAGCCGCGGUAAUACGGAGGGGGUUAGCGUUGUUCGGAAUUACUGGGCGUAAAGCGCGCGUAGGCGGGCUAUUAAGUCAGGGGUGAGAUCCCGGGGCUCAACCCCGGAACUGCCUUUGAUACUGGUAGUCUUGAGUUCGAGAGAGGUGAGUGGAAUUCCGAGUGUAGAGGUGAAAUUCGUAGAUAUUCGGAGGAACAUCAGUGGCGAAGGCGACUCACUGGCUCGAUACUGACGCUGAGGUGCGAAAGUGUGGGGAGCAAACAGGAUUAGAUACCCUGGUAGUC
rnacentral:rRNA from 1 species